rnacentral:rRNA from 1 species
GACGAACGCUGGCGGCGUGCCUAAUGCAUGCAAGUCGAGCGGGCUACUAUCUUCGGAUAGUAGCUUAGCGGCGAACGGGUGAGUAACACGUAGGUAAUCUACCCUUCAGAGGAGGACAACCUCAGGAAACUGAGGCUAAACCUUCAUACGUUCAUGUGCAGGGAUGCAUAUGAAGAAAGAGUUACCGUAGAGGUAGCUGCUGAAGGAUGAGCCUGCGGCCCAUCAGGUAGUUGGUGAGGUAACGGCUCACCAAGCCGAAGACGGGUAACCGGUCUGAGAGGAUGUCCGGUCACACUGGGACUGAGACACGGCCCAGACUCCUACGGGAGGCAGCAGCAGGGAAUCUUGGGCAAUGGGCGAAAGCCUGAUGCAGCGACGCCGCGUGAGCGAAGAAGGCCUUCGGGUUGUAAAGCUCUGUCUGGAGGGACGAACAAAAUAGACGGUACCUCCGGAGGAAGGCCACGGCUAACUAACGUGCCAGCAGCCGCGGUAAA